GCUGAAAUAGUUCAGUUGGGAAAGCGUUAGACUGAAGAUCUAAAGGUCCCUGGUUCGAUCCCGGGUUUCGGCA
rnacentral:tRNA from 2 species